rnacentral:rRNA from 1 species
GAGUUUGAUCCUGGCUCAGGAUGAACGCUAGCGACAGGCUUAACACAUGCAAGUCGAGGGGCAGCGGGGGCGAAGCUUGCUUCGCCUGCCGGCGACCGGCGCACGGGUGAGUAACACGUAUGCAACCUACCCCCUGCAGGGGAAUAACCCGGAGAAAUCCGGACUAAUACCACACGGCACUUUCGGGAGGCAUCUUCUGAGGGUUAAAGGAGCGAUCCGGCCGGGGAUGGGCAUGCGGCGCAUUAGCUAGUCGGCGGGGUAACGGCCCACCGAGGCGACGAUGCGUAGGGGUUCUGAGAGGAAGGUCCCCCACACUGGUACUGAGACACGGACCAGACUCCUACGGGAGGCAGCAGUGAGGAAUAUUGGUCAAUGGGCGGGAGCCUGAACCAGCCAAGUCGCGUGAGGGACGACGGUCCUAUGGAUUGUAAACCUCUUUUGUCGGGGAACAAAGGCGCCCACGGGUGGGCGGAUGAGUGUACCCGAAGAAAAAGCAUCGGCUAACUCCGUGCCAGCAGCCGCGGUAAUACGGAGGAUGCGAGCGUUAUCCGGAUUUAUUGGGUUUAAAGGGUGCGUAGGCGGACGGUCAAGUCAGCGGUAAAAAUGCGGUGCUCAACGCCGUACAGCCGUUGAAACUAGCAGUCUUGAGUGGGCGAGAAGUAUGCGGAAUGCGUGGUGUAGCGGUGAAAUGCAUAGAUAUCACGCAGAACUCCGAUUGCGAAGGCAGCAUACCGGCGCCCUACUGACGCUGAGGCACGAAAGCGUGGGUAUCGAACAGGAUUAGAUACCCUGGUAGUCCACGCAGUAAACGAUGAAUACUAAUUGUCCGGGGCUUCGGUUCUGGGUGAUACAGCGAAAGCGUUAAGUAUUCCACCUGGGGAGUACGCCGGCAACGGUGAAACUCAAAGGAAUUGACGG